rnacentral:tRNA from 3 species
GCCCUGGUGGCGGAACUGGUAGACGCGCAGCAUUCAGGAUGCUGUGCCCAUACGGGCGUGGAGGUUCGAGUCCUCUCCAGGGCA